AUGGAAGGAAUCCUUGAGAGAUUGAGGAGUGCCCGAAAGGAACCUUUACACAGGUGCUGCAUGGCUGUCGUCAGCUCGUGUCGUGAGAUGUUGGGUUAAGUCCCGCAACGAGCGCAACCCUUGUCAUUAGUUGCUACGCAAGAGCACUCUAAUGAGACUGCCGGUGACAAACCGGAGGAAGGUGGGGAUGACGUCAAGUCCUCAUGGCCCUUAUGGGUAGGGCUUCACACGUCAUACAAUGGUACAUACAGAGGGCCGCCAACCCGCGAGGGGGAGCUAAUCCCAGAAAGUGUAUCGUAGUCCGAAUUGUAGUCUGCAACUCGACUACAUGAAGUUGGAAUCGCUAGUAAUCGCGGAUCAGCAUGUCGCGGUGAAUACGUUCCCGGGUCUUGUACACACCGCCCGUCACACCAUGGGAGCGGGUUUUACCAGAAGUAGGUAGCUUAACCGCAAGGAGGGCGCUUACCACGGUAGGAUUCGUGACUGGGGUGAAGUCGUAACAAGGUAGGCGUAGCGAG
rnacentral:rRNA from 1 species